GGCGCACGUUACGAGGCUAUGCUUCCGGCCUGGCCCUACCUUGCGUGCGCAUAGCUCCGGGACAUACACUACGUCUGGUCGUGACGACUGCGACUGUACUGACCCGAACAUU
rnacentral:snoRNA from 18 species